GUGAUUAAAUCGAGCGUGUCUUCAUUGACCGCUCACCCUUCUCACCAUCCACAUACACCUCUGCACUGUUUAGCCUGAGCCGGUUUUCCGGUCCAGGUUAUCAUUUCAUACAAACUCUAGUCUUAUGAAUGUAAACGUUUUAAUAAACAUAAUA
rnacentral:misc_RNA from 1 species